rnacentral:rRNA from 1 species
CGGCAAUGGACGAAAGUCUGACCGAGCAACGCCGCGUGAGUGAAGAAGGUUUUCGGAUCGUAAAACUCUGUUGGUAGAGAAGAACGUUGGUGAGAGUGGAAAGCUCAUCAAGUGACGGUAACUACCCAGAAAGGGACGGCUAACUACGUGCCAGCAGCCGCGGUAAUACGUAGGUCCCGAGCGUUGUCCGGAUUUAUUGGGCGUAAAGCGAGCGCAGGUGGUUUAUUAAGUCUGGUGUAAAAGGCAGUGGCUCAACCAUUGUAUGCAUUGGAAACUGGUAGACUUGAGUGCAGGAGAGGCGAGUGGAAUUCCAUGUGUAGCGGUGAAAUGCGUAGAUAUAUGGAGGAACACCGGUGGCGAAAGCGGCUCUCUGGCCUGUAACUGACACUGAGGCUCGAAAGCGUGGGGAGCAAACAGGAUUAGAUACCCUGGUAGUCCACGCCGUAAACGAUGAGUGCUAGAUGUAGGGAGCUAUAAGUUCUCUGUAUCGCAGCUAACGCAAUAAGCACUCCGCCUGGGGAGA